UUUCCCGGUUGAUGAAAUACUCUGGAAUGUUUAUUCAGGGGGGACGACAUGUCCCUUAUAAAGCACAAUUACAUCAUAAGCACUGUCAGAGAUAACAUGAAAUAAUACAUCAAUAAUUGGUUGUGUUAAGUGUUUUAUUCAAAGCACGUCCUACUGGGUGUGCCAUCUUAUGUCAUUACUGUCGUCAUGAAGUUCUCCCCCGAAUUCCAGCGCCAUCUUGAAAAUGAGAGUGUUUGGUCGAUGGGUGGGGUAUUCCUGAGUGGCAUCUAGUGGUCAGUUUAGUAAUUUAUUGAAUAAUACUGAGUAUAACUAAAUGGAGUAAAUAGGCAUUUUACUAGCUAAAAAAAUAUGUCAAUAUCUCAUUUCCACAACAUUUAUAUA